rnacentral:rRNA from 1 species
AUUGAACGCUGGCGGCAUGCCUUACACAUGCAAGUCGAACGGCAGCACGGGGGCAACCCUGGUGGCGAGUGGCGGACGGGUGAGUAAAGCAUCGGAACGUAUCCUGGAGUGGGGGGAUAACGUAGCGAAAGUUACGCUAAUACCGCAUAUUCUGUGAGCAGGAAAGCAGGGGAUCGCAAGACCUUGCGCUCUGGGAGCGGCCGAUGUCGGAUUAGCUAGUUGGUGGGGUAAAGGCCUACCAAGGCGACGAUCCGUAGCGGGUCUGAGAGGACGACCAGCCACACUGGAACUGAGACACGGUCCAGACUCCUACGGGAGGCAGCAGUGGGGAAUUUUGGACAAUGGGCGCAAGCCUGAUCCAGCCAUGCCGCGUGAGUGAAGAAGGCCUC